CUUUUAAAGGAUAGAAGUAAUCCACUGGUUUUAGGAGCCAUUAACCCUUGGUGCAAA
rnacentral:tRNA from 1 species